CCACCUUUACUGUGCCCAUCACCUCCUCUCUCCUUCCUCUCUCUAGUCUAUGCACUCUCUCUCUCUUGGUGUCCCCUUGUUGGAGCUUUUAGAGAAGUGGGCACCAAUAUUGUUUUGGUGUCAAUUGGUUGACGCCAAGUUGUUUUUUGGUCUUAUCUUCUUUCUUCCAAGUUGUUGGAAGUUAGUUACAACCACUUCUUGAUUAUUGUUCUUCUUGAUUAGUUGAGAGAUCAAGAUAGAUUCUUGGUUUCUUCAAGAAUCAAGAAAGAAAGA
rnacentral:lncRNA from 1 species